rnacentral:rRNA from 1 species
GAUUAACGCUGGCGGCGUGCAUAACACAUUCAAGUCGAACGGAGUGUAGCAAUACACUUAGUGGCGGACGGGUGAGUAACGCGUGAGCAAUCUACCCUCAGGUACGGAAUAACAACCGGAAACGAAUGGUAAUACCGCAUGAUGUCACGGAACCGCAUGAUUCUGUGACCAAAGGAGCAAUCCGCUGAAAGAUGGACUCGCGUCCGAUUAGCUAGUUGGAGAGGUAACGGCUCCCCAAGGCGACGAUCGGUAGCCGGACUGAGAGGUUGAACGGCCACAUUGGGACUGAGACACGGCCCAGACUCCUACGGGAGGCAGCAGUGGGGAAUAUUGCACAAUGGGGGAAACCCUGAUGCAGCAACGCCGCGUGAAGGAAGACGGUCUUCGGAUCGUAAACUUUUGUCUUAGGGGACGAUAGUGACGGUACCCUAGGAGGAAGCCACGGCUAACUACGUG